UUAAGUUCAGCGCGUAUUCCUACCUGAUCCGAGGUCAACCUUAGAAGUUUCCUGGUGAGAGGAGAAGACCGGGUCCCGGGCGCCCUUAAGUCCGAUACGUGCUCCGUGAAAAGCUCAGUGUACCGGGGAACCACAGGCCCGCCGUCAUUGUCUUUCGGAGGGGUCGAUCGCUCGACCGGCCGUCCAACGCCAAGCACGGG
rnacentral:misc_RNA from 1 species